rnacentral:sRNA from 1 species
GCUGGGCAUGGUGGCAUAUGCCUGUAAUCCCAGCAGCUCAGGAGGCAGAGGCAGGAGGAUCUCAAGUUCAAAGCCAGCCUCAGCAAUUUAACAAGACCCUAAGCAACUUAGUGAGACCCUGUCUCAA